AUUGAACGCUGGCGGCAGGCCUAACACAUGCAAGUCGAGCGAGCGGCGGACGGGUGAGUAAUGUCUGGGAAACUGCCUGAUGGAGGGGGAUAACUACUGGAAACGGUAGCUAAUACCGCAUACCAUCAGAUGUGCCCAGCGGGGAUUAGCUAGUAGGUGGGGUAACGGCUCACCUAGGCGGCGAUGCCUAGCUGGUCUGAGAGGAUGACCAGCAAAACUGGAACAGAGAGACGGUCCAGACUCCGACGUGAGGCAGCAGUGGGGAAUAUUGCACAAUGGGGGCAAGCCUGAUGCAGCAAUGCCGCGUGUGUGAAGAAGGCCUUCGGGUUGUAAAGCACUGUCAGCGGGGAGGCGUUACCCGCAGAAGAAGCACCGGCUAACUCCGUGCCAGCAGCCGCGGUAAUUC
rnacentral:rRNA from 1 species